AGUAAGAUUGCUGGGCCACAGGGUAAAUGUAUGUUUAACUUUAGUAGAUUAUGCAAAACAGUUUUUCAAAGUGAUUGUACUAAUUUAUAUUCCCAUCAGCACU
rnacentral:pre_miRNA from 1 species